GGAAGUUGGCGCGUGUAUACAUGCGUCGAGCGGACAGAAGGGAGCUUGCUCCCGGAUGUUAGCGGCGGACGGGUGAGUAACACGUGGGUAACCUGCCUGUAAGACUGGGAUAACUCCGGGAAACCGGAGCUAAUACCGGAUAGUUCCUUGAACCGCAUGGUUCAAGGAUGAAAGACGGUUUCGGCUGUCACUUACAGAUGGACCCGCGGCGCAUUAGCUAGUUGGUGAGGUAACGGCUCACCAAGGCGACGAGCGUAGCCGACCUGAGAGGGUGAUCGGCCACACUGGGACUGAGACACGGCCCAGACUCCUACGGGAGGCAGCAGUAGGGAAUCUUCCGCAAUGGACGAAAGUCUGACGGAGCAACGCCGCGUGAGUGAUGAAGGUUUUCGGAUCGUAAAGCUCUGUUGUUAGGGAAGAACAAGUGCAAGAGUAACUGCUUGCACCUUGACGGUACCUAACCAGAAAGCCACGGCUAACUACGUGCCAGCAGCCGCGGUAAUACGUAGGUGGCAAGCGUUGUCCGGAAUUAUUGGGCGUAAAGGGCUCGCAGGCGGUUUCUUAAGUCUGAUGUGAAAGCCCCCGGCUCAACCGGGGAGGGUCAUUGGAAACUGGGAAACUUGAGUGCAGAAGAGGAGAGUGGAAUUCCACGUGUAGCGGUGAAAUGCGUAGAGAUGUGGAGGAACACCAGUGGCGAAGGCGACUCUCUGGUCUGUAACUGACGCUGAGGAGCGAAAGCGUGGGGAGCGAACAGGAUUAGAUACCCUGGUAGUCCACGCCGUAAACGAUGAGUGCUAAGUGUUAGGGGGUUUCCGCCCCUUAGUGCUGCAGCUAACGCAUUAAGCACUCCGCCUGGGGAGUACGGUCGCAAGACUGAAACUCAAAGGAAUUGACGGGGGCCCGCACAAGCGGUGGAGCAUGUGGUUAAUUUCGAA
rnacentral:rRNA from 1 species